AUUGAACGCUGGCGGCAUGCCUUACACAUGCAAGUCGAACGGCAGCACGGGUGCUUGCACCUGGUGGCGAGUGGCGAACGGGUGAGUAAUACAUCGGAACAUGUCCUGUAGUGGGGGAUAGCCCGGCGAAAGCCGGAUUAAUACCGCAUACGAUCUACGGAUGAAAGCGGGGGACCUUCGGGCCUCGCGCUAUAGGGUUGGCCGAUGGCUGAUUAGCUAGUUGGUGGGGUAAGGGCCUACCAAGGCGACGAUCAGUAGCUGGUCUGAGAGGACGACCAGCCACACUGGGACUGGGACACGGCCCAGACUCCUACGGGAGGCAGCAGUGGGGAAUUUUGGACAAUGGGCGAAAGCCUGAUCCAGCAAUGCCGCGUGUGUGAAGAAGGCCUUCGGGUUGUAAAGCACUUUUGUCCGGAAAGAAAUCCUUGGCCCUAAUACGGUCGGGGGAUGACGGUACCGGAAGAAUAAGCACCGGCUAACUACGUG
rnacentral:rRNA from 1 species